AGUGAAAUGCCUGAAAAGGAAUACUUUGAUAAAGCACUCAUGCAAUUACUUGCUUUCACUA
rnacentral:tRNA from 1 species